rnacentral:rRNA from 1 species
CACGUAGGGUGCGAGCGUUGUCCGGAAUUAUUGGGCGUAAAGAGCUCGUAGGCGGUGUGUCGCGUCGGCCGUGAAAACCCGCGGCUCAACUGCGGGCCUGCAGUCGAUACGGGCAGGCUAGAGUUCGGUAGGGGAGACUGGAAUUCCUGGUGUAGCGGUGAAAUGCGCAGAUAUCAGGAGGAACACCGGUGGCGAAGGCGGGUCUCUGGGCCGAUACUGACGCUGAGGAGCGAAAGCGUGGGGAGCGAACAGG